rnacentral:rRNA from 1 species
GACGUAGGGCGCAAGCGUUGUCCGGAAUCAUUGGGCGUAAAGAGCUCGUAGGCGGUUCGUCGCGUCGGCUGUGAAAUCCCGAGGCUCAACCUCGGGUCUGCAGUCGAUACGGGCGGACUGGAGUUCGGCAGGGGAGACUGGAAUUCCUGGUGUAGCGGUGAAAUGCGCAGAUAUCAGGAGGAACACCGGUGGCGAAGGCAGCUCGCUGGGACGGUACUGACGCUGAGACGCGAAAGCGUGGGGAGCAAACAGG